rnacentral:lncRNA from 1 species
UGUUUCUUUCUUCGUUCAAGCGACAUUAUUAUAAUUUCUUUUCGACAUACAUGUCUUGUUGUUUGUAGGAGAUAGGAGACUUAGAAAGACUUGUAAAAGUAAUAUUAAAGAAAGAGAACGGAAUUCAAAUUGGCUGCUCCAAACCUUUGAUAGGUGCUCCCAUAUAGGUGGUCCAAGGUUUGAAUGCAGAAAAUGUCUUUCAAUUACUUCUAUAUUCAUUUCUCUUUCACAAUGAAUGGCAUAUUUUAAUGGAGAGGAGAACGCUAGUAAAGUCAAAAAGACUUGUAAAUUUCAAGAUUUCUUGAUUACACCAUUUUGAUAUUUGAAAGUGGAGGUGUCUAUUGGUAAUAUAUAGACAUAAAUCUAAUUGCUUCAAAUAAUUGGUAUCUCCCUUGGACUCAUUUUCUAAAAAAGUUGAAAUAAAAUAGAAUACGACAUGUGAAAUUUAUUGAGUAUGAGACGCAACAAAUUAUAUCUAUUAAUUGACUCGUGUUCAGAAAAAGAGAAAUCAACGGACGAACCUUGUGGUAAAGCUAGUCCAAGCAACAUCUUUGUCACAAGUCAUUCAAGAACACUACAAAAUAUGUCCACCAACUGUUAGACUAAAAACAUUGAAAUUUGAUUGAUAUGCUUUGUUUGGGACUUGAACUGAUUGCUCUUUUUCAACGUUAUCUAGAAGAUGAUUCCAUAAGCAUUUUUUGUUUGGAUGGUGCAUAUAAUUGAGUUGAUUGACUAGAAAAUUGGAUUUAAGAGAUUUACUCAAGUAAUUUGAGAUAUGCUCUUUUAAAAUUAAUUUGAAUCGAGAGAUUAUAAAAUGCGUUUUCGAGUUUAAACUUGAUUUGUAAAGAGUAAAAAUCGACACUAACAUGGAAACAAUAUCAACGUAAAAUAGUAAUGCAAAAUGCUGAUCUUUUAAAAUGAAACUUCAAAACCCAAAAAGCUAAGAGGAAUAAUUUGAUUUGUGGGAAAUUCAAACACAACGGUCAAAUUCUAAAAUUGUUAUUUUCAGAUGAGCCACCAUCUAUUCAUAUUAAAGACAAAAUUCUUUAGAGGAUGUUUGGUGAGGAUUAAUAUUAGAUUUUUUAAUAGAUUGUGAUAAAAAUUCUCUUAUACUCAUCCCUAUUCCCUACGAGCAAAAUAUGCACAUUUGCGUCUUAAACAAAUAAAUAUGAAUUUACGCUGGAACAUCAAAUUAAUAAAGGUGCCAAUAAACCUUUGUGAUAGGAUGAUUCACUAGCUUCGUAAAACUUUCAACUAUCCACCUUAGAUUUAAAUUAAUUAAACAAAAGAAAAUCUUUAAACAAACCCUUUAUCCAUUCAUUCCCCUCUCAUUUAAGCUAUAGAUAUUUACUUGCUAAGAUGCGUCUUUACCCUCUAGACGAUGUUGGAGGAUAAAAAAAGUCUUGGUCGUGCAAUAAUUUUGACUUACCUUUAAGAAUUUCCAAACAUGCUUCCUAUAAUCCCUAAGCACAAGAGAAAAAUAUUAAGUAAAUAUUGCAUACUUUUAUCAACUAAAAUAUUCACAUUCAUUUUUUCUCGUGGCAUAUUCAGCACGAAAGAUUGGUCAUGCUAAAGGGAGAGCCAAAGUGGGAGUACUCUCUUACUUGAUCAAUAAUGCAAGGGGCCAACCACUUGCUAGCUAGCGAACAAGCAAUAAUAUUAUAUAUGAUGCUUUCUUUCACAAGGUUGCGCAUCCAUAUAGCAUAGCUGAAGUGGACAAAAAAGAUGUUCCCAUAGCGUUACAUGGUGUAGCUUAGCCUUUUUCUCUAUGUACAUUUGGACAAUAAAGGAAAACUAUCUGGCCUUUCAAGCCCUACUAAGUAAAGAGAGAUGUGUUGUUGACUGUUAUAAUCCCACGUUUGCUAUUCCAUUGUAAGGAAUUGGUUGAUCGUACAUUAACACAUAUAAUAGUAGGUUGAAUUCGAUAAAAGGAGAACAAAUAAUAAAAUAAUGGGCAGAAUCAAUAUUCAUGAUACAAGCAUUGAACAUUAUAAUAAAAAUGGAAUGUAAGCUUAAAUCUAUUAUUUGUUAUAUUGUUGAUUCCUGUGUCUUGAUAAUGCACUUGGGUUAUUUGGUAGGAUCUUUAUGUACUAGGCAUAAGAAGCCCAUCCUUUCUAAUCGAAAAAAUGUGGGAUAUUAUGUUGAUCUAAAUAAACAAUUUUCUAACCCUAAUUAUGACUAGACAGACUUUCUUACAACAUAGGCAGGGGCGAACCCCCGGGGGGGGGGGGGUUACAGCUCUAGAUUUUGAAAAAAAAUAAAAAUUUGUUUAGCAUUUUUUUUUAUUAAAAGGUAUCCUAUAAAUUUUAUUUGUGACCUCCUAAACCAAGUCGUCUAUGUCCGCCCCUGAACAUAAGUUUUCUAAGUACAGUGUAUCUUGUUGAAGGAAGUGAAGUCUCAUUGUGUGGAAGAUAUAGAAAUCUAAAACUUUUUUUAAGUUUUGAGUAUAUAUUUUCAGCUGUUCAACAAAAGUAGAAAAGAAUAUAUAAGCAAAUAUGGCUUGAGGGAAUGUCACAAGCAUCCUUUUAAUAUGUUCUCUUUUGUGAUUAUGAUCAAAGAUUCUUUCUAAUUUGAGAAUGAAGGCCUUAUUUUGAUCUCAACCUUUUGCCUAAAUUAUGUUGCAUGAUCUGCCAACACAUUAAUUAACAAGAAGAUCAAACGAAAAUGUUAUAUAUAUAAUAUUUGUGUAUGUAGAGAGAGAUGAAAGAAGAAAAGGUAGCAUGAAUGGGACUCCGUACUCGACAAUUUUCAAUAUUAUUAGUAUGUUUAACCUUGCUUAAAAGCAUUUUUUAUGUACUUUAUUGGAAUUUUUGGACAGUAUGCAUAUGUUGUCUAGAAAAGACCUAAAAUGUACGUGUGUGUGUGUGUAUAUACACACAUAUACACGCACGCACGCACGCACGCACACACAAACGAGUUCUUCACACCUAUGUGUCCCUACCAUUUCCUUAUUGGUAUAGGGGCUUUAUAGUUUAUACUUUCUACACGAAAUUCUUGAAUCUUGUGAUGAUAUCUUGUAAUAUAGUGCUUGAACAUUCUACAAAAGAGUAUCACGAUAAAUUUUGAUAAUGGUUGCAAUGAUAUUUAUUAGAAAUCUGAGCACAUAUUUACAUAAUAGAAUUAUACAAAACUCCACAUGAGAAAUUCAUUUUCAUCUGAAUAAACCAGCAUGGAACGUGGUUUUUCAUGACGGAUUUUAUUAUAUCACACAGAUGUUAGUUUUACACGACAAUUUUAUAUUAUCAAUCAUGAAAGUCUUUUUCCACAAUUAGUAUUUAAUUUUUAGCUAUUGUGAAAUCCUACAAAUGUUUUAUGUAUAUCUUUUUUUUUUUUUAACCCAGGUGUCCCAACUUCGCCAGGCUAAAUCCUGGACCCCUAACCCUCGGCCCCUCAAUGACUAGUGGAGGUAAAUUGCGGGAUGUGCCCUUAUUGGCUCUCAAAUUUCUGCAUGGCUUUUGUUUUAUGUAUAUCCUUUAUUAUGAAUAUGUUUCAACCUUGGUUUUUGAAAGUAUGACGUUAAAAUAGCGUUGUUUUGUUUUACUCAGUGCCAAAAUAAACAACGGGAUUUACGUGUUUCAGCUAUAUACCACUACAAUGAUGAAACAUCACCAAAUAAAAUCUUCGUCCACCGCAUACUCAUUCAAAGAACUUCACAAUCAUAAUUGGCUAUCAACUGUAACAAGACAACAUAAACAAAUCAGUCUUCUUCUAAUUAUUAUUCUGAAGAAUCUUUAUGUGUCGACAAUUUGAGGGAUGAAAGUGUAUUAUCCCACAAAGUCUCCAUUCUUGACCAGUGUUAAAGAGAAAAGACAACACUAAUACUAUUAUUUGCUCACACAGUCUAAUUUCCU